UACGAAGGGGGCGAGCGUUGUUCGGAUUUACUGGGCGUAAAGGGCGCGUAGGCGGCCCUCCUUGUCGCGUGUGAAAGCCCCGGGCUCAACCUGGGAAUUGCGCGCGAAACGGGGGGGCUUGAGUUCGGGAGAGGAGCGUGGAAUUCCCAGUGUAGAGGUGAAAUUCGUAGAUAUUGGGAAGAACACCGGUGGCGAAGGCGGCGCUCUGGACCGAGACUGACGCUGAGGCGCGAAAGCCAGGGGAGCAAACGGG
rnacentral:rRNA from 1 species